AUUGAACGCUGGCGGCAUGCUUUACACAUGCAAGUCGAACGGCAGCACGAAAGAGCUUGCUCUUUUGGUGGCGAGUGGCGAACGGGUGAGUAAUGCAUCGGAACGUACCGAGUAAUGGGGGAUAACUAUCCGAAAGGAUAGCUAAUACCGCAUACGCUUUGAGAAGGAAAGUGGGGGCUCUUCGGACCUCACGUCAUUCGAGCGGCCGAUGUCUGAUUAGCUAGUUGGUGGGGUAAAGGCCUACCAAGGCGACGAUCAGUAGCGGGUCUGAGAGGAUGAUCCGCCACACUGGGACUGAGACACGGCCCAGACUCCUACGGGAGGCAGCAGUGGGGAAUUUUGGACAAUGGGCGCAAGCCUGAUCCAGCCAUGCCGCGUGUCUGAAGAAGGC
rnacentral:rRNA from 1 species